CCCGCAGACCGCCUUAUCGUCGUUCCGAUUUAUCGGAAGGGAGGAAAGUCCGGACACCACAGAGAAGCAUAGCGGGUAACACCCGUCGGCGUUAGUAAUAGCGUAAGGACAAGUGCAACAGAAAGUAUGUACAGGUAAUGCUGUAGUGAAACCAGGUAAACUCUAUGCGGUGAAAUACCAAGUAUAUCAGCAUUUAAGGGCUUCUCGUCCGUUGUUGAAGGGUAGGUAGCUUGAGUCCUGUAGUAAUACAGGAUCUAGAUAAAUGAUAAGGCUCUGAUUUAUCAGAGACAGAAUCCGGCUUAUAGGUCUGCAUUUUUU
rnacentral:RNase_P_RNA from 1 species